ensembl:lincRNA
UAAAGAGUAACUUUAUGACUUCAUAGUUUAAAAUACUUGCUCAUUAGCGAUAAGAUACAAUGAUGUGGAGGAAAGUUUACACUUCUGAGAGAAAUUAGACCCUCAGAUUUGAAGACUUCAAAUCUCAAACUCAUCUAAGAAUGCCAAUAUAAUCAUUGUGACCUUGGGAACAGCUGAAAUGAAAGAAAGACCUCAAAUGACAAACCAGAACCUUUUUUUUUUCUUUUUCAAAUAUCAGAGCAGAAUACAAACCAGAGAAACUUCCUUCACAUUCCUUUGAGGUUGACCAUGAAGAUGCCGAUAAGGAUGAAGAUACCACAUCCCACUCAUCAUCCAAGGGCGGUGGGGGAGUAGGAGCCACUGGAGUGUUCAAGUCUGGCUGGCUUUACAAGGGGAAUUUUAACAGCACUGUGAACAAUACUGUCACGGUUCGGUCAUUCAAAAAGCGCUACUUCCAGCUGACUCAGCUGCCAGAUAACUCCUACAUUAUGAACUUUUACAAAGAUGAAAAAAUAUCCAAAGAACCGAAAGGCUGCAUCUUCUUGGAUUCCUGCACAGGUGUGCUGCAGGUGAGUGGGCCUCACUUUCCCCCCAGAUGUACUUUCAUUGCAUAGUGCAUGUAAGAAAUACUUAUGAAGUAUCUGUGUAAGCCAACAACUGUUCUGCACUCUGGAGAUUUGUUGAAGAACACACCGCCUAGAUCUGAAGCUUACUUUCAAUAGAAAAAAAGACAAGAAGUAAGCAAAAAAAAAAAAAAGAAAAGAAAACAGUUGAAUUAGUGGGAAUUUUUAAGAUUUGUAUGUGUGUGUCUCUGUGUAUGUGUAUAUGCAUGCACGCAUGCUUGAAUGUAUAUAUGUGCACCACUUGAGCACAAGACACACAGAGGCCAGAAGAGGGCAUCAGCUAGCCUAUUUUCCCUAGAGCUGAACUUAUGGCUGGUUAUGAGCUGCCUGACGUGGAUGCUGGGAAUCAAAUUCACAGUCCUAUUCAAGAACACAAGUGCUCAUAACUACUGAGACAUCUCUCCAGUCCCAGUAGGAAAUUUCUCAGUAAAAGAAACAAACAAAUUAUUAAAUAAGGGGAAUAUGUAUAGUGGUAUGAAAAUGGGAUAUUAAUGCUUAAUAAGAGAGAAGAGUAUUUUUGAAAAGGAGCCCAAAAAAAGAAAAAUAAAUAAAAAAGAAAAGAGCCCAUUUGGUCUAUGAACCAAAAAAUGAGGAGGGGCAGUAGUUACCAAGUUCCUGAAGUAGAAACACAUCUACCUGCUUCUUCAAGUGAAAGAAGAAAAUGUACUCUACCCUGGCUACAGUGUAAAAGACCGCUGAGUUAAAAUAAGUUCAGUGAGAGUGGUCAGUCACAUAGCCCACAGUAUAUAUUUCAUAAAUGCUAGAUAACAAUGCAAUAAUAAAUUCAGUGUAUAUACAGAUCAUCUCUCUCCAAAGAAGAGGGGUUUUUAUCAUUUUUUAAGACAGAGUCUCCUCCCUGUAGCCCCAGCAGACUAUGUAGGCCAGGCUGUCUUUGAACUCACAGAGAUCCACCUACCUUUGCCUCCCAAGUGCUGGGAUUAAAGACAUGUGCCACCACGCCUGGUAGAAGAGGUUUUCUUUAAAUACAAAAACUACAUUGAUUCUCAAAAUUUUAAUUUGAGAAACAGACAGGGUUUUUAAUAGACAGUGCUGUUUUGGAAGUGCUUGAUCUUCAAAUUAUGUUCCUUAGUAUUUCCUUGUCAUGAACGACUGUGGCAUAUAGAAACAGAACACUUCCGAGGAUGCUGAGGAUGUCACCUAGUCAAUGGACCCUGAAUGUUCAUCCAUCUCUUUCUUUCUACUCAUUCAAAUCUACCCUUAUUCCUUCUUACUUAAAAGUUGAACGAUUAAGUGUGCUAACAGUCACCCCUCAAAUUUCACAGUAAGACUCUAGUCUCUUGAAGCUAAAGCCCUUAAAACCACUUCCUGAGCUGAGCACACCCCCAGACACUCACAGAGUUUCUUAUGCCAUAGCUGAGUUUACAUUCUGAACUACUAAUGAGGGCACUUAGAUAUACAGAGGCAAAAUACAGUUCUCUGCAGUCUCUUGGUCCUAAACUAUUUCUAGACAGUUCAUCUGUUAAAAUCUGGAUAAGACUGAACUUUAAAAGUUAGAAUUAAUUGUGGCUGAGCCUUUCUAAUUGCAUUUUAAUGCAGAUGCCAGAUUUCCAUAUGGAAAGGACAGUGAGGAUCUUGAUGAAAGGUGGAAAUGGUUGUCUACCGUGGGGC